UGAGGAACCUGCCUUGGAGAGGGGAAUAACACAGAGAAAUUUGUGCUAAUACCGCAUGAUGCAGUUGGGUCGCAUGGCUCUGACUGCCAAAGAUUUUAUCGCUCUGAGAUGGCCUCGCGUCUGAUUAGCUAGUUGGUGGGGCAACGGCCCACCAAGGCGACGAUCAGUAGCCGGACUGAGAGGUUGACCGGCCACAUUGGGACUGAGACACGGCCCAGACUCCUACGGGAGGCAGCAUG
rnacentral:rRNA from 1 species